UACAGAGGUCUCAAGCGUUGUUCGGAUUCAUUGGGCGUAAAGGGUGCGUAGGUGGCGGGGUAAGUCAGGUGUGAAAUCUCGGGGCUCAACCCCGAAACUGCAUUUGAUACUGCCUUGCUCGAGUACUGGAGAGGGGAUUGGAAUUUACGGUGUAGCAGUGAAAUGCGUAGAUAUCGUAAGGAAGACCAGUGGCGAAGGCGAAUCUCUGGACAGUUACUGACACUGAGGCACGAAGGCCAGGGGAGCAAACGGG
rnacentral:rRNA from 1 species